rfam:Caenorhabditis japonica strain DF5081 Contig11073.1, whole genome shotgun sequence.
UAGCACAUAAAUACGGAGACUUUCGAUGUCGAAAAUUUCUAGUCGUAGUGUGCAAUAAAAACCGUUCUACUGCCACACGAGUGCUGGCCUAGAAGCUGCAUUGGUUCCAAAGUUGUUCGAACAAUU